CUGAUGCAGCCAUGCCGCGUGUGUGAAGAAGGCCUUCGGGUUGUAAAGCACUUUCAGUUGUGAGGAAAAGUUAGUAGUUAAUACCUGCUAGCCGUGACGUUAACAACAGAAGAAGCACCGGCUAACUCCGUGCCAGCAGCCGCGGUAAUACGGAGGGUGCGAGCGUUAAUCGGAAUUACUGGGCGUAAAGCGCACGCAGGCGGUUUGUUAAGCUAGAUGUGAAAGCCCCGGGCUCAACCUGGGAUGGUCAUUUAGAACUGGCAGACUAGAGUCUUGGAGAGGGGAGUGGAAUUCCAGGUGUAGCGGUGAAAUGCGUAGAUAUCUGGAGGAACAUCAGUGGCGAAGGCGACUCCCUGGCCAAAGACUGACGCUCAUGUGCGAAAGUGUGGGUAGCGAACAGGAUUAGAUACCCUGGUAGUCCACACCGUAAACGCUGUCUACUAGCUGUGUGUGUCUUUAAGACGUGCGUAGCGAAGCUAACGCGCUAAGUAGACCGCCUGGGGAGUACGGCCGCAAGGUUAAAACUCAAAUGAAAUUUUGACGGA
rnacentral:rRNA from 1 species